rnacentral:rRNA from 1 species
UACGGGGGGGGUAAGCGUUGUUCGGAAUUACUGGGCGUAAAGGGCUCGUAGGCGGCCAACUAAGUCAUACGUGAAAUCCCUCAGCUUAACCGGGGAACUGCGUCUGAUACUGGAUGGCUUGAGUUUGGGAGAGGGAUGCGGAAUUCCAGGUGUAGCGGUGAAAUGCGUAGAUAUCUGGAGGAACACCGGUGGCGAAGGCGACAUCCUGGACCAACACUGACGCUGAGGAGCGAAAGCCAGGGGAGCAAACGGG